AUGGAGGCGGAGAAGCAAACGAAGAAGCUCGAGAUGGAGACGGAGAAGCAAAGGAACAUGUUCGAGGUCGAGGCUACCAAUGCCAAGACCAAAACAAAAGAAGUGGUGCUCGCUUGCAUGAUGAAGGGCGUGGAGAUCAUGAAGGUGGACUUGAGCAUGAUGUCCCUGAGGAAGAGUCCUUGGUUCGAGAAGAUGCAGGCCGACAUGCUCAAGCUUGAGAGUAAAUUGCACAGAAGUACCACAAUUGGGGCAUUGGAAGCAGAUUGGUCUCGCUGGUGCGACCAAGCCAGACCCCGACCCCACUCUUCCCUCUUCCUUCUCCUCGCACCCUCGCCGGCGGCUGCCUCCCUGCCCGCCCCGCUGCCCGCCACACCACGCCACCAUAGCCAUGGAUCAAACUGCUUAGGCGUUGUCACCUCCCCCGCGGCUGCUCCUCCCUUGUGCCCUCCUCUCCCCCGCGGCUGCUGUGCCCUAGGCGAUGAUGGCCUCGACUACUCCGGCAGGCGUGGUGGCUACUCCAGCUCGGAGUACAGUAGCGAGGAUGAAGAUUUUGCGGAGCCGGCGUUGUCGAUGGAGCAGAGGCUGAAGAUGGCGCGAAUUUGGGUGGCCAACCCUAGCACCGCCCAUCACUGGACUCAUGGCUUCGGUGAAAUGUUUGAGCUAAAGCUCUGCAGUUCAGAUGUAACAUACCUGAAUAUGAUUGCAGUGAUGGAAACCCAAGGAUUUAGUGAAUAUGAUCUGCUGUUUCACAUUGAGAAUCCACAAUUAGGGGAGAAAGGAUUGGAGAUGGUAGAGUGUAAUGCUGAGUUGCAAUUAGUAAAGAAGCAGGUUGAGGAGUCUAAGGUCUUAAAUUUGCUAGUGAGGGCAUGUCCACCUCCUUGCAGCCAGUUUGAGAGGCAAGAAUUAUCCACUGUUGUGUAUGAAGAGCCGGUGUUAUAUGAUCUCAGUGAGCCACCCAUCUAUGCUGUUAAUGAAGAAGGAGUUGCAUUUGAAAGUCAGAGUAGCAGCUGCAGUGUAGCUCAUGGUACUGGUGUUUGCACACAAGAGAGCAAGAAUGUAAAAGGAAAACUGAAAGUUGUUUUGGAAAUAGAAGAAGAAGAGGGAUAUGAUGGCAGUGGUGGUUCUGAUUGUGAAGGUGAAGAGGACAGUGAUGUACCACCUUUUUAUAUGGGUGAUGCUGAUGACAUAGAGAUGGCUGAGGGAAAGAAACAGAAAGAGUAUGAUGAAAUGGAAGAGGAAGAAACAGAUGAUGAAGAAUCUGAGGAGGAAGAAGUGGUGCAUUAUGAGGGUGACACAGAGGUUGAGGAACCUUUUCAAAUGGAUGAAGAUGACAAAGUUGUUUCACGGGAUGAAGAAACUGUAAUUGUAUACGAAGAGAAGAAGAAGAAGAAACAGAAGCUUCCAGUUAGGAGAGCGCCUACAACAAGGUCACAUUCAAGUGUAGAGGCUGAUGAUGAUGGUUUUGAGCCAUUGUCAUUUGUGCUGCCAAAGAAAAGGAAGAGCAGAGCAAAGCAGAGGCCUCCUAGAAAAUGUACAGAGACAACAAGGGUAAGUGCCAAGUGGCUUGCACAGAAGUAUGAGUCACUGUUCAGAUAUGAUCUAACAACUGGCAUUCAGACUUUGAUUGAUGCUUGCAUGGAGAAGUAUGGUGUGGAUGUGCCCAAGUCAAUGGCAUAUAGAGCAAAGAACAUAGCUAUUGAUGUUGUGCUAGGAGACCACAAGAAGCAAUACCCUAGGUUGAAAGACUAUGCUCACACAGUGAUGGAUACAAACCCUGGGAGUAGAGUAGUAGUUACUACUGUAACUCCAACACCCACCGAAAAAAUCCCCCAUCCAGGUCCAAGAUUCCAUGUUAUGUUCUAUUUUGCAUCAAUGGAGCAAGGGAGGGGUUUCUCAAGGGGUGCAGACCAUUCAUUGGGCCUACUAAAUGCAGUGAAUGUUGUCUUUCCUAAGUGCAACCAAAGGUUCUGCCUUAGGCAUAUCUAUGCAAACUUCCAAAAUGCUGGGUUUAGGGGGGAAGAUCUGAAGAAGUGUAUGGAUAAUGCUGCCUAUGCAUAUAGUGAACACAAAUUUAACAUUGCAAUGAAUGACCUUAGAGCUGAAUGUCAGGAAGCUUGGGAGUGGCUUUGUCAAAUACCCAAGAAAACAUGGGCAAGGCAUGCAUUUGACACAAACUGCAAGACUGACCUUGUAGUUAACAAUUUGUCUGAGGUGUUCAACAAGUAUGUCCUAGAUGUUAGGAAGAAACCAAUUAGAACAAUGUGUGAUGGAAUAAAGGAUAAGCAGAUGAUGAGGUGGCAUAGGAAUAGGGAGAGUACAAAGACAGCUAGAUGGGACAUAACACCCCAUUAUAGUGAGAAGCUAGAGGCUGAGAAGGAGAGGGCCAAAUAUUGCAAACCAAUUCAAGUUGGUGUGAACUUGUGGCAGGUUACAAGUGGGCAGCAAACCCAUGUUGUUAACUUGCAAGUGCACACAUGUGGGUGCAGAAAAUGGGACCUCAGUGGCAUCCCAUGUAACCAUGCCAUCUCAGCAAUCAACAAGGGCAAAAGAAAACCAGAGGAUUAUGUCAGCAAGUUCUUCAAGAAAGAAUUUUAUGUGGCAGCUUAUGAACCAAUGAUCUAUCCAGUUCCUGGUGAGCAUGACUGGACAAAGACCCCUAGUCCAGACAUUGACCCACCUGCAUUUAAAGUGAAGAGAGGAAGAAAGAAAGAGAAGAGGAUCGAGGGGAAAUUUGAAGUUCCAAAGCCUAAGGACACAUCAAGAAUGGGGACUAUAACAUGUGGCAAUUGUGGACUGCAAGGACAUAGGUACACAAGCUGCCUCAAGCAGUUGAAGCCUGAGCUGGCUUUGAGGAAGAACAAACAUGUGCCUCUUGCAAGGAAUUCCAAUGGUGGUGCUGCUGCUACUACACCAGCAGCAAGAACCUCUCAUGCAGCUCCUACAACAACACCAAUAGCUGGAACAGGAGGUGCUGGGAGAGGAGCUGGGAGAGUAGCUGGGAGAGGUGCUGCAGCUGCAGGUGCUGGGAGAGGUACUGGGAGAGGUAUUGCAGCUGUAGCAGCUCCAGCUUCUAGGAGAGGUGCUGCAGCAGCUCCAGCUGCUGGAAGAGGUGCUGGGAGAGGUGCUGGGAGAGGUGUUGCACCAGGUGCUGCAAGAGGUGCUGGGAAAGGGAGAGGUGCAUUCUCUGAUCCAAGACAAUCUGGUCCCUCCACAUCUACUGCUCCCUCCACAUCUGCUGCUGGGAGAGGUGCUGGUGGUAGACAUAGUGGAUGUGGGAGGUACUUCUAUGCAAGUGUACCACCUAAAGCCAUCAUUUUGGGUUUUGGUGGUUCGGGGUCGACGGAACCACCUAAAGCCAUCAUUUUGGGUUUUGGUGACUCGGAGUCGACGGAACCACCUAAAGCCAUCAUUUUGGGUCUAGGGUGGCUCGGGGUCGACGAAACCACCUAA
rnacentral:rRNA from 1 species